GUAGGUGGCAAGCGUUGUCCGGAAUUAUUGGGCGUAACGCGCGCGCAGGCGGUUCUUUAAGUCUGAUGUGAAAGCCCACGGCUCAACCGUGGAGGGUCAUUGGAAACUGGAGAACUUGAGUACAGAAGAGGAAAGCGGAAUUCCACGUGUAGCGGUGAAAUGCGUAGAGAUGUGGAGGAACACCAGUGGCGAAGGCGGCUUUCUGGUCUGUAACUGACGCUGAGGCGCGAAAGCGUGGGGAGCAAACAGGAUUAGAUACCCUGGUAGUCCACGCCGUAAACGAUGAGUGCUAAGUGUUAGGGGGUUUCCGCCCCCUUAGUGCUGCAGCUAACGCAUUAAGCACUCCGCCUGGGAGUACGACCGCAAGGUUG
rnacentral:rRNA from 1 species